rnacentral:rRNA from 1 species
GUGGGGAAUAUUGGACAAUGGGCGCAAGCCUGAUCCAGCCAUACCGCGUGGGUGAAGAAGGCCUUCGGGUUGUAAAGCCCUUUUGUACGGGAAGAAAUCAUUCGGGUUAAUACCCUGGGUGGAUGACGGUACCGUAAGAAUAAGCACCGGCUAACUUCGUGCCAGCAGCCGCGGUAAUACGUAGGGUCCAAGCGUUAAUCGGAAUUACUGGGCGUAAAGCGUGCGCAGGCGGUUGUGCAAGACCGAUGUGAAAUCCCCGAGCUUAACUUGGGAAGUGCAUUGGUGACUGCACGGCUAGAGUGUGUCAGAGGGGGGUAGAAUUCCACGUGUAGCAGUGAAAUGCGUAGAGAUGUGGAGGAAUACCGAUGGCGAAGGCAGCCCCCUGGGAUAACACUGACGCUCAUGCACGAAAGCGUGGGGAGCAAACAGGAUUAGAAACCCGGGUAGUCC